rnacentral:rRNA from 1 species
UAGCCUACGGGGGGCAGCAGUGGGGAAUAUUGGGCAAUGGGCGCAAGCCUGACCCAGCAACGCCGCGUGAAGGAAGAAGGCUUUCGGGUUGUAAACUUCUUUUGUCAGGGACGAAGCAAGUGACGGUACCUGACGAAUAAGCCACGGCUAACUACGUGCCAGCAGCCGCGGUAAUACGUAGGGAGCAAGCGUUAUCCGGAUUUAUUGGGUGUAAAGGGUGCGUAGACGGGAAAUUAAGUUAGUUGUGAAAUCCCUCGGCUCAACUGAGGAACUGCAACUAAAACUGGUUUUCUUGAGUGUUGGAG